rnacentral:rRNA from 1 species
UACGUAGGGCGCAAGCGUUGUCCGGAAUUAUUGGGCGUAAAGAGCUCGUAGGCGGUGUGUCGCGUCGGCCGUGAAAACCUGCAGCUUAACUGUGGGCUUGCGGUCGAUACGGGCAUCACUGGAGUUCGGCAGGGGAGACUGGAAUUCCGUGGUGUAGCGGUGAAAAUGCGCAGAUAUCAGGAGGAACACCGGUGGCGGAAGGCGGGUCUCUGGGCCGAUGACUGACGCUGAGAAGCGAAAGCGUGGGGAGCGAACAGG